GGCGCGGGCGGUGCCCGCGUGGGCGAGGCCCUCGCGCGGCCCCGCGCGAGUAGGGGGGGGCGCGAUGCGUUGGGCCGGGCACUUCCCGUGGCAAAAGUCGGAGGAAGUACCGGAGAGUGGCGCGAAGUGGGACUGAGCCCGCUGGCGGCCCCCGCGGCCCGCCCGGGGCGCUGCGACCCGAAACGCGGCGCGGCGGCAGCGGCAGGAGAGGCCGGGCUGCGGGGGCGGGGAGAGGGGCUGAGCCCCUUCUCCCGGGAAGAGGCGCCCCCGCUGGAGGCGGCAGCGCCCCGGGCUGCUCCCGGCCCUUGGCUGUCCACACGGCGCCCCGGCGCUGCUCCCUUUCCUCCCAGCCCUCUCCCCACCUCCGUCUCGCCUCCCCACUCCUUGCUGCCUUGGCGUCCCACGGCCGUGCCAAGGAGCUGCCUUCCCGCCAGGUGAGCUGGACUGAAGCGUGGAGCGCUGCAUCGCUCUGCUUAACGCCCGCCUGGGACAGGGUCCCUGGCUUCCAACAAGAGAAGUAGAUCAAGUGAAGGAGGCCAGAGAUGAGGGUGAGACAUGAGCUGGAAAACAGAGACGUUCACUAUACUACAAAAGAUCGGAUAGCACAGCCACCUGCGACAUGGAAAAGAAAUCCGAGAUGCAGCAGAGGUAGCUGCUGACACAAGGGAAGCAAUGGCCACAGCAGACUAGAGGUCCAGAGCCUGAAGUGGUUGCCUGUGGUAGUAUCUGGAUUCCCAAGGAAACGAAGCCCAUAUGAGCACAAAGGCAGAGUGCUCACUGCCUUUGUGUCUAUUUAGAUAGAAAACAGAAUGGUUUUGGUUCUGUUGACGUUGCAGGAGAGUGAAAGAAUACCAGUGUUCAGAUGUUUCCCAGUGGUGGAGAAUUUUCAGCCAGACAUGGACAGUGGGGAUUUGAUCUUCUGCUGAUCUCUGUUAGACUCAGUGACACUCUGUAUGUACCCAGAGAUACCUGAAGUCUUGCUUGACAUCACUGAGAUGUUUUCAUGAAUAAGAAAUGCUUUUCUGAAACAAUACUUUAAAAUGCAGUAGUGUUACACCACUUUGGCAACAGGUUUAUUUUUUGCAGUAUCUUCUCCUUUCUUCUUUCUGACCUUUUUACCUCCCCCCCCAAACACACCAUUUUAGUUCUGUUUCCUUUAUGUCUGAAGAGAAUGACAUCUUCACGUACUACUAUACGUAAAGGAAGAAUAGCAACAUUUUGGAGGAAUAAAUGUUGCUAACAGAAAGGAAGUGCAAGGUUUUAGGGUUGGGCAGAAAAACCUCCCGAACAAACCAACAACAAACAAACAGGGUUUCCUCAGAGACUUAAGGUCACCUUGAGAUACUGCAUAUGGGUUAUGUAUGGCUGUGCUCCAGAACCCAGGACAAGGUCAGUAACUCAGCUUUCGUUUGGAAAAGAAUGUUUUUCAAGGCUCAUGGCUGUGAGAAAGAAGCAGGAGUAGGUGGACCAAAUAUCAUCUGUGCCUUUCUGAGUGGGCAAACCAACUGAAAACAACAGGUGUAGGAGGCAGGAACUUCUUCGUUCAUUAUAUUCCUGAGUUCUGCUGCUCUGGGCAAGGACCUCCAUUAAUAACACUCUCAUACAAUGUUCAUAAGUGAGGCUUUUGUUCUGAUGCUCUGGUGUCAGCAGAGACCACAUUGAAAUGAUGCUCAGGAAAGUGGAGAGUGAAUCUUUCUUUCUCUGGAAAAGCCUGAAUCUGAUAGAUACUGUGUAACUCAGCUAGAUACUGUGUAAGAGCAGACACAGCCAAACAGGAGUGGUGACAGGUCCAACGCAAGGACUGCACUCGUGAAGCUACUUCAACACCUACAACUUCAAAUAAGGGAGCUGUAGAGAGGUAGGGCCUAACUGCUUUGGCAGAGCUAUGAAACCACUCUGUCUUCAUGCCCUCAGUCUUUUAAAUGUAGCUCUUUGAAAGAUGUUUAAAAUACAGCAUUCCAGGUUUACCUGCAGAGGUCACGAUGCUCUCUUUGUGGACACUGUGUGCCUCUAUAGCUUUAGCAAGAAAUGCUAUCUUUGGGAUGCCCUCCCGUGUUUAAAUAAAUAGCCUGGGAAUGUCUGUUAAAGUCACUGUGAAAGCAAUAACACUAUGGAUAAUUCCAAAUGGAAGUAUCUCUCUGAAUCCUUUUGUUUUCUUUUUGUCUUACGGCACUGUGUACUCUUAGAGCAGGGUUAUGAGGUUGUCUUGGAGAUGGAGGGCUUAAGCAUAAGCCUAUCGUACUGAAAUGUUCACAUUAAACAAUGUAACUGUGAAUUCUUUCAACAAAUGACUGAGUGAGGUGAAGUGACAAAAAGCUUACGAAACUGUCACAGGGGAGUUGCAUAAACUGGGGUCAGAUGUUCAGUUUGAGACUGUUACAUGAGCGAGGAGUUUUGCAGCUGGUUGACUAAAGGAAGUGGGAAGUCAGCUGGUCUCUAGUUGUUAUAACAACAACCUGUUAUGUUUCUCAGGCAACAGAGAUGCCCAUAGUCUUUUGGCAGUCAUGAAUCAAGAGGAUAAUUUCCUCUUUUCCUGGAAUAAUAUUUGAAAACUACACAUGUUUUUCAGUCCAUUGAAUUUGGGACUUCUCUUAGAAGUGGCAAGAUCCUGUCAAGUGUUAUUACGCUAUGGUGCAGCCUUUGAGUGGGUUGGCACAGAGAUUUUGGGAAUGCACCAUAGGUUUAAAUAAUGGUAAAUAAUUGUGAAAGAGAAGGACAGAAAGAACCUCCCAGGUUGCUGCAACAUCCAGCUGAAGAAAAAAACAUCCACAACUGUGCAUUGCCUUUUUUCCUAAUGUUUAGUUUAUAUCUUCCAAGAGAAAACUGGCAAGUGACUGGCUAUGAAUAAUGUACCCACGGGGAAAGUUUGUUUCUAAACAUGAACAUUUAGUGCCUGGCUUAUGUCUAGGUGGGUGUGCUGGCUAUUUCAUAAAGAUUUCAUUUUAUUGAGGCAACCACAUGAAAGAAUUGCUGUGGAGGAACUGAAGGUGAGAAUAUCUUUAUUCUGCAUCUACAGCAACAUCAACACCCUUCACGUAGUAAAACUGAAAUGCAGAGACUAACCUUUCUCUUUCAUCUCUUCCAUGCCCCUCUCUGUGCCUGGGUCCCCUUGCAAGUUAUACCUAAUAUGAUAUCAUCCUUUACAUUUCUUGCUAUCUCAAUUAGGCAGGGGAAUUAUCAGCUUGAUGAAACUCUGGGCUUUUCUACCAUCAUGGCAGAACACAGAGAAAGUACAGGCUUGAGCUAAGGUUUAAUGUAAUUUAGGAAAAGGUGCUGAUGGAAUAACAGCUGCAAACACAAACAAAAAAAAAAAAAAGAAGAAGAAGAAAAAUACUUGCAUUUAGCUAUAGGACUUUCAAAGCUGAGGUCACUUAAGCAAGGGAGCCUGAAGGUGCAGUACGCUUCAGAAACAGGUAAAUCAAAUCAUGUAACAGCAUAAUCUGCAUAAUUUUUUAAAACAUAUCGAGGCCUCUAAUCUGAACCUUGCUGAACUUGAUGACACUCUUCAGUACUUAUGGUCUUCAGUACCCCCUGGUUAAGCAGUGCCAGAUGCAUAUUCUCCUUCAUCCUCUCAGUCCUCCUUAAUGCCCAGGUUUGGGGGAAUGACUGUUAGCAAAAGAUUUAAUAUCUGAUGCAUCUGCAGUUAACCCUCUGUAUAAAGGAGUCUCAGAAUUAUGUUGCUGUGUACAUCUGAGAGAGGUAAAAUAACACUAUAUAUGGAAAAUACUCAUUUCUGCCAAUGUAAAUCAGGAAUAAUUCUGUUUAAAUUGAACACCAUUGAGAUGACUAUCAAGGCUUGAGAAUUCCCAGUAUACAGAAUAUUUUAUGCUGUGGUAUAGGUAGGGCCAAAAAAACACAGCAAGGCUCAGAUAGUUAUAACAGCGAAACACUUUCCCAACAAUUCCCACCAAAAAGUUCUGUUAAAAAACAGUUAAGGCUGCUUCAGGGCAAAACACACCCACACAAGAAAUGACAGGUUAGAGGAACCUUCUUCCCAUAAGUUAUCAUGCACACCUCAUAUUAACCACUCCCAGCGACAGACUCCAAACCACAACAAAGAACUUCCCUGGUUCUGUGGGAUAAGGAAACAAACUAAAUACCCAUCCCUCCUACAUACCUAAGUGCAAAACGCUCUGUCUUCUGCAACACUAGCAUUAGAGGCUGAUGCAUGUGUAGUGGCUAUGUUUGUGAUUAUAGGAAAAAAUGGAGAUAACAGGUGUCCCCUGAGCUUGCACUCUGCUGGUACUGCAGGUUUCAAGAACCGUCUUUGACUUGUCAGACUGUGUUUCUCUCUGUAGGUGACUCACCACUCCACUUGGUAGACCCCUUCCCCAGCGCAGAGCUGAGGAGCCACCUAUUGCUUUUUGUUAGAUUGGGGGAUCAGCUAUGUGAGCUAUUUACACUACAGUAAAUCUGAUUGCCUUGGUGUAAAGAUAGUUACAUUUGCACCAGCUAUUUGUACUGGACUUCUUCUACAUGAUUUAUUCCUAUUGAGCCAUAAGAAAUUUUACAAGGAAGGAGUUUAUGUUGAAGAAUUGUUUGUGUGCAUGCCUCUGCUCCCAAGCGUGUUGGUGGUCUUUCAUCUACCAUCCCACACAGCUUUAUACCUUCCCCCACAUCUACCUGCUGCUUUCACCCAGGUUUCUUCUGCUCCAGGUAGACCAGCGCUGACCAGGUUUCCUCCUUGUUUAAAUGCAAAUGAAGAGUUGGUUCUGCCUUUUUGUAUCCAGAUGCUCCAGGAAGUCUAAGAACAGAGCAAACUCUGUCCACUCUAGGAACAAUGUCUUGGUAUCGCACCAACAUGUUUUACCUGUCAUUCUCUGGAGAAAGGCAAAGAUGUGUUGAAUCCAGGCAUAAAACCCAAGACUUUUAUGUUGGGCCUCGUAGAAGGAUGAAUUCUCUUCCCUUACAAAGUUGCAUCAAGACAAAGAAUUUGAACACAAAUAGAUGAUGGACAGUAGCUUUCCAAACUCUGUCUCUUGACAAUGAGCUGGAGAUAACUCUGUCAAGAGAUACUAAUCUAAGAAUAUAAUUCCAUGUCAUGUGUUUGACCUUGAAGAUGCUGAGCACAGUAAGGUGGAAAACUUCUGUGCUGAAGCUACACGCCAAUGCUGUGACCUGGACAUAGUCUGUUACUUCACCAUGUGUCUCCAAAAUUUUGACCUUGUUCUCCCUGUGUGCUGCACUGUGUGGCCAGCUCCAGCCUAGAAAAAUGAUAUUGUUACGAAACUAUGUUCAUUACUGACUGAACAUUUUAUAGCUCUGUCAUAGUGCAAAGGCCCAGGACAGCAAACUAGUAAAAGUUUGAUACGGGCAUUUGCAACCCCAUUUAAUUUCUCUGUCCUCCAGGAAAAUCUGUUUAUUUGUAUCAACAAAUCCUAGAGAAUAAAUAAUUGUUUAGAAAACUGUAAUAACCAGAUUUUAAUCUUAACGCUUUUAAUGUUAAAGACUUUAUUAAUGGUUUCUAAUUUUCCUGUGGGCUAUGUAAUGGUAAUACAACACAGAGUGAGCUUGAAGCAGGGGGCUUUUCAGGAUACCUAUAUAUGACAUACACAUCUCUAUUCACUGGUCUAAUGAUAUGAGAUCAAAAUGGGUGGAACAUUUCCUCUGUUUCCAUGACAGGAAUACUUGUCUUCAGCAUCAAUACUAAGCUUCUCUGUAAGCUCUUUUGAGCCAUCCUUAUUAAAAAUACAUUAGACAUACAGCUGUACGAGUUGAAGUCUUGGAAGAAUAUCUCUAUCCCUGCAAAGUCAAAGUGCUUUCAGUGUGGAUGCCUGCAGGGGACAGUGGUCAUAAAGCAGUCAGAGAACAUAAGGAAUGCUGAGAUUUCAGCACCCGCGUGAUUACCCACAGCUAUACAAACAGUACAGGGAAGAAGACAGAUUGACCUUGGCCAUGUUUUGAGAGUGCCAGAUAACUAGGUCCUUAAACAAGCCUUCUUUCAGCAUGAAGAAGAAAGAAGAGACAGUGACCCCAAGGAAUGCUAGGAAACAGAAUAAUGAGUUAAGCCGCAACAUUGCAAGUCAGCAGCUGGAACAUCUGAAAGGGACUGGCCCAGGAUAAAAGUGGUUGGUGAUGACAGGUAUCUGCCUUAUGUGCCUGGCAGUGAGAGAAAGAGAUUAUGUUGGGUAUAUGACAGUAGUAUAUCAAGUACAUGUAGGCAGAAUUUUUCAAAACAUGAAUAGUAUACUAUGCCUUAGCAGUCCCAUAACUACUCACCAUAGUGAAAUUUUAGUCUGUUUGUAGGAAUUUGAAAUGGAGUUUAAGAAGCACAAAAUGUUUUAGCAUAUUUCUGUAUCCACAGGGUCAUGGCUAUCUUUUCUUAGCUUCCCAGAUUAGUAUCUGUAUUUGUCUGUAGAGAACAUUGGGAGGCUCCAUUCUAGCAAAUAAUGGCAAUGCUCAUCUUGUUGACCUCCCCUUCACCUUUGCAAAUAGGUAUUUUCUUUGCUGUUUCCUCACAUGACUGGGGAACACACCCUCCAACACCCGAAUGAGUUGCAAAAGUGCAAACACAAUCACCAGGCUGGGCUCAUCAGCUUCCCCUCUAACUCUUAUCUUGGGCCUUGCCCCAGGAUGGUUGUUACAUACUUAAUCUGAAGGAAUCACCCUCCCAUGGUAGAUGAAGUACAGUGGAAAUACUGUGGAGAUACCACCAGAUGUUAGAUCCAUGAACCAGGGAGAUUUGAUACAAGAUGAAAGCUAGAAACAAACUUACCAUCUCCACAGUCUCCUAUAGAAAGCAGGCAGUGGAAACGAUCCUCAAAAUGGCUGUGGCAAACAGCCUGAGGAGCGAAAGAAGCUUUUUCUUUGCUAUACUGGAAAACUGAGCAUUACACAAUUACUUGUUGUUUUUCUCGCCUUAUGGAUUCUACCCUUGUAAUGUGCAAAUCCUCAGGGAAAUGUGUUCACUGCCAUCCAGCAUCUCACUAAUUAGAGAUCAAAGAAGAGAUGUUUGGAGAGCUCAUAGAGAUCACUGUGAAGAGCAUUAUUGUAGUUCAAAAUGACAAGAGUUCCUGAAACAAGAAAAGAAAUGGCAGAAAGGAGAAGGAAAAGAACCAGGAGGUGAAGGUCACAGUCUGUCACUCAUUUACUGGUGAAAAGGGGGGUCAUUUUGAUGUAAGAAUUGGGGGAAUCAGUCAAUCAGCAGAAUCUGUGUUAGUUGAAAAGGGCAAGAAAGAUGCAUGCAGAGAUUCAGUAGCAGCCCUUGGAUAUUAUGAUCAGGUCAUAAACCACUGUUAUUGCUAUUAAAGAAUAUGCUCCAAAGACA